UGUCGCUAAUAAUCCACCGAUUCCCGUCGAUCUCUUUUGCGAUUCCUUUACACCCAUAUAUACACAUUUGUGUGCCUGUAUUUUUCUUCCACCCAGAUUAAGGGGAAGAUCAUGCUGAUGCGCUGUAAACGUUCCAGCCACAACCACGGGGGUUUGGAUUUAGGCUCUAGUUCAUGCAUCCAAAUCUCUGUGAAUGUAUACAUGGAUGGCUCUGGCCUUAACUUAAUGAAGUUUUGGCUGCGAGUGGGGGUUGUUUUCAGCUACGUACGUACCACCACCUGGGCCAACCUGUCCUGACAAGGGUUUUAGAAAUGGAACUAUGAUCUGCAGAUCUGGAAGCUAAUGUGCAUGCAAUGAGCCUGGUACAUGAACAUCAGUGAUUCUUGGUGCCAGCUCAUUUUAUUUGUGUGCAGCUGGAGAUUCUGCCAACAAAAACGAAUUACAUGCAGAAUUGUUUAGUUGCAUGCAACACUGUACGAAGAAGCAUCAAGCAUGUAUUCUGAAAUACUCCUACAACAUAUCUAGGUGGACUUGUAUAUGCAUAACGGCCUAAAAGUUUUAAAACAUCCCUAACGGCCUAAAUGUUGAUUUUUUUUUCCUCUAAGGUCCUAUGUUAGGUGCAACAGUACAUCAUUCAAAUGACUGUUCAGUGAGGCGAUAGGGUACCAAGUACGGAGUACUACAAACACAGUGUUUUUGUUUUUU